rnacentral:rRNA from 1 species
AUUGAACGCUGGCGGCAUGCCUUACACAUGCAAGUCGAACGGCAGCAUAGGAGCUUGCUCCUGAUGGCGAGUGGCGAACGGGUGAGUAAUAUAUCGGAACGUGCCCUAGAGUGGGGGAUAACUAGUCGAAAGACUAGCUAAUACCGCAUACGAUCUACGGAUGAAAGUGGGGGAUCGCAAGACCUCAUGCUCCUGGAGCGGCCGAUAUCUGAUUAGCUAGUUGGUGGGGUAAAAGCCUACCAAGGCGACGAUAAGUAGCUGGUCUGAGAGGACGACCAGCCACACUGGGACUGAGACACGGCCCAGAAUCCUACGGGAGGCAGCAGUAGGGAAUUUUGGACAAUGGGGGCAACCCUGAUCCAGCAAUUCCGCGUGAGUGAAGAAGGCCUUCGGGUUGUAAAGCUCUUUUGUCAGGGAAGAAACGGUAGUAGCUAAUAUCUAUUACUAAUGACGGUACCUGAAGAAUAAGCACCGGCUAACUACGUGCCAGCAGCCGCCGUAA